CCUACGGGGGGCAGCAGUGGGGAAUAUUGGACAAUGGGCGAAAGCCUGAUCCAGCCAUGCCGCGUGUGUGAAGAAGGCCUUCGGGUUGUAAAGCACUUUCAGUGGGGAAGAAAGCCUUGGGGCUAAUACCCUCGAGGAAGGACAUCACCCACAGAAGAAGCACCGGCUAACUCCGUGCCAGCAGCCGCGGUAAUACGGAGGGUGCGAGCGUUAAUCGGAAUUACUGGGCGUAAAGCGCGCGUAGGCGGUCUGAUAAGCCGGGUGUGAAAGCCCCGGGCUCAACCUGGGAACGGCAUCCGGAACUGUCAGGCUAGGGUGCAAGAGAGGAAGGUAGAAUUCCCGGUGGAGCGGUGAAAUGCGUAGAGAUCGGGAGGAAUACCAGUGGCGAAGGCGGCCUUCUGGACUGACACUGACGCUGAGGUGCGAAAGCGUGGGUAGCAAACAGGAUUAGAUACCCCUGUAGUC
rnacentral:rRNA from 1 species